rnacentral:lncRNA from 1 species
GGUACCAUUCCUUCUGAAACUAUUCCAAUCAAUAGAAAAAGAGGAAAUCCUCCCUAACUCAUUUUAUGAGGCCAGCAUCAUUCUGAUUCCUUUCCAUCUUUAGUGCUUCCUUCAGGAGGUCUUGCAAGGCAGGCCUGGUGGUGAUAAAUUCCCUCAGCAUUUGCUUGUCUGAGAAGGAUUUCUCCUUCACUUAUGAAGGUUAGUUUGGCCAGAUAUGAAAUUCUAGGUUAGAAAUUCUUUUCUCUAAGAAUGUUGACCAUUGGACCCAACUGUCUUCUGGCUUGUAGGGUUUCUGCUGAGAGGCCCACGGUUAGUCUGACGGGCUUCCCCUUGUAGGUGACCUGCCCUUGUCUCUGGCUGCCUUUAACAUUUUUUCCUUCAUUUUGAUCUUGGAGAAUCUGAUGACUAUGUGUCUUGAGGGUUGAUUUUCUUGUGGAGUAUCUUACUGGGGUUCUCUGGAUUUCCUGAAUUUGAAUGUUGGCCUGUCUUGCUAGGUUGGGGAAGUUCUCCUGGAUGAUAUCUUGAAGUGUGUUUUCCCAACGUGGCUCCAUUCUCCUUGUCUCUUUCAGGUAGUCCAAGCAGUCAUAGGUUUGGUCUUUUACAUAGUUCCACAGUUCUUUGAGGUUUUGUUCAUUCCUUUUCAUUCUUUUUUCUCUAAUCUUGUCUGCCUGCCUUAUUUUGGCAAGAUAGUCUUCAAGCUCUGAUAUUCUUUUUUCUGCUUGAUCAAUUCAGCUGUUGAUACUUGUGUUUGCAUCACGAAGUUCCCCUUAUGUGCUUUAUAGUUGGCUCCGGUCAUUUAUGUUCCUCUCUAAACUGGUUAUUCUAGUUAGCAUCUUCUGUAACCUUUUAACAUGGUUCUUAGCUUCUUUGCUGACAGAAGUAGGGUUCAGAAGCCUACUUCUGUCAAUUCAUCCAUCUCAACCUCCUCCCAGCACUGUGCCCUUGCUGUAGAGGUGUUGUGAUCAUUUGGAGUAAACAAGCCACUCUGGCCUUUUGAGUUGUGAGGGGUUUUUCAUUCCUUUCUCAUCUUCAUGAGUUUGUCUCAUUUUGAUCUUUGAGGCUGCUGACCUUUAGAUGAGGUUUUCGUGGGGACUUUUUGGUUGAUGUUGUUGUUGCUUUCUGUUUUCCUUUGAACAGUCAGGCACCUCUUCUGUAGGGCUGCUGCAGUUUGCUGGGGAUUCACUUCAAGCCCUACUUAUCUGGGUCCCUCCCACACCUGAAGAUGUCACCAGAGAGUGCUGGAGAACAGCAAAGAUGAGACCCCACUCCUUCCUCUGGGAUCUCUGUCCUUGAGGGGCACCCACCUGAUGCCAGUAGAAAUGCUCUUGUAUAAGGUGUCUGGUGACCCAUUGGGGUGUCUCACCCAGUUGGGGGGCACAGGAUCCAGGACUUGCUUAAUGAAGCACUUUAGUUGUCCCUUUGUGAAGGGGGUAUGCUGUGCUGGGGGAAAUCCCACUCGUCUGGGAUGCCUGGAUUCCUCAGAGUGAGCAGGGGGAAAGAAUAAGUCUUCUGGUUUGUGGAGACAACAGCCAGCCACCCCUCCUGCUAGGGACUCAGACUUAGAGAGAUCAGAGUUCUCUCCCUAAUUCCCUGGCUUGAGUUGCUGGAGUUCCUGCAGGGAUGCCCCACCCAGUGAGGAGGGAUGGGUGAGGGUCAGCCUAAAGAGGCAGUCUGGCCAUGAUCUGCCACAGCCAGUAUGCUGCGCUGUGGGGAAUACCUCUUGGGACCAAGCCGUCCAGUCUCCCUGGCAUCAGCAAAGGAAAAACAGCAGCCUGGCUCUGUAGAAAUGGCUGCCGCCCUUCCUCCCCAGGAGUUCAGUGUCUUAGGCAGCUAGCAGCCACAGUGAUGGCUGCUGUCCCUUCUUGGGGAGCUCAGUUUCCUCAGGCAGCAGGCAGCCACAGUGAUGAUGACAACCCUCCCCAACUUUUUAGGCAGACUCCAGCUGAGUGGCUGUUGAGAAUCUGCAUGGCUCUGUAGUUGGCACCCAAGGCCCUGGUGGUGUGGUCUCAUGAGUGGGAUCUUCUGAUCUGUGGAUUGCAAAGAUCCAUGGAAAAAGCAGUUUCCCAGGCUGGGUAGCAUGCUCACUCACUGCCUCCCUUGGCUGGCUGAGGGUGAGGGCUCCCCUUGCCCCAUGUGGCUCCCAGGUGGGCCAAUCCACCAGCCCAUCUUUCCUUGUUCUCUAUGGGCCAUGCCAACUACCUAGUCAGUCCUGAUCAUAGAACCUGGAUAUGUCAGUUGCUGGUGCAGGAUUUGCACACUGUUUUAGUUCUUCUCAGUGGGAGCCUCGAAUUGCAGCUGCUUCUAGUUGGCUAUCUUGCCCCUGCCCCCUUGUCUUUUUGAAAAAUUAUUGUUCAUUUGAAAUCUGUUUUGUCUGAAAUUAGGAUUGCAACCUCUGCUUUUUUUCUGUUUUCUAUUUGUCUGGUAGAUUUUCCUCCAUCCUUUUAGUUUGAGACGAUGAGUGUCAUUAUGUGUGAGAUGGGUCUCUUGAAGACGACAUACCAUUGGGUCUCGCUUUUUUUUUUUUUUAAUCUAGCUUGCCACUCUGCCUUUUAAGUGGGGCAUUUGUCCAUUUACUUUCAAGGUUAGUAUUGAUUUGUGUAGAUUUGAUCUUGUCAUUGUGCUGUUGGCUGGUUAUUAUGUUGGCUUGUUUGUGUGGUUGCUUUAUAGUGUCACUGGUCUGUGUGUUUAAGUAUGUUUUUGUAUUAGUGUGUAGUGGUCUUUCCUUUCUAUAUUUAGUCCUCCUUUCUAAAAUCUCUUGUAAGGCAGAUGUGGUGGUAAUGAAUUACCUCAGAAUUUGCUUGUCUGUAAAUGAUCUCAUUUCUCCUUCAUUUAGGAAGCUUAGUUUAGCUGGAUAUGAAAUUCUUGGUUGAAGAUUUUCUUUAAUAAUGUUAAAUAUAGUCCCCCAAUCCCUUCUGGCUUGUAGGAUUUCAGCUGAGAGAUCUGCUGUUAGCCUCAUGGGGUUCCCUUUGUAGAUGGCCUGCCCCUUUCUCUCUGGCUGCCUUUAACAUUCUUUCCCUCAUUUUGACCUUGGAAAACCUGAUGUUUAUGUGUCUUGAGGAUGGUCUUGUGUAGAAUCUUGUAGGAGUUCUUUGUAUUUCCUGAAUUUGACUGUUGGCCUUUCCAGCAAGGUUAGGGAAGCUUUCAUAGAUGAUAUCCUGAAAUGUUUUCCAAGUUAUUUGAUUUCUCCACCUCCCUUUCAGAGAUGCCAGUGAUUUGUAGAAUUGGCUUCUUUAUAUAAUCCCAUGCUCCUUGAAGGUUUUGUUCAUUCUUUUUUAUUUUUGUCCAUCUUAUUUUAGAGAACCAAUCUUCAAGUUCUGAGAUUCAUUCCUCAGAUUGGUUUUUUCUGCUGUUAAUACUUGUGAUUGCAUUGUGAAAUUCUUGUAUUGUGUUAUUUGGCGCUUUCAGAUCAGUUAGUUUCUUUUUUUAUUAUACCAGCUACUUUGUCCUUCAGCUCCUAUAACACUUUAUUGUUAUUCUUAUUUUCCUUGGAUUGGGUUCUGCCAUUGUCCUGAGUCUUGAUGAUUUUUUUUCCUAUCCAUAUUCUCAAUUAUAUUUAUGUAAUUCCAGACAGUUCAUCCAGGUUAAGAACUCUUGUUGGAGAACUGGUGUGGUUGUUUGAAGGACAUAUGACACAGAGGCCAUUUGAGUUACUGGAGUUCUUGCAUUGGUUUCUUCUCAUUUCCACCUAUGGGUUUUCCUUUAAUUGCAGUGUAGAUUGAGUACAGUCCGUAGACUUAUUUUCAGAUGUUUUCACCAGGCUGAGGCUUUGUGCAGGUUCUUUAUUUGAAGCUGACUUCUCAUUUCUGGUUUCAGAGGGGAGUAUAUUAGUAAGGUAUUUUUGGUGCUGAAGCUUUGGGAUGUGAUCCAGUAGGUGGCACUUGGGCUUACUGGUCAGUUGGUAGAGUCUUGCUUGGUCAUGUGGCUCCCCUAUGUUUCCUCACAGUUGCAGCCAUGUUCACUCUCAAUGAUCUGAAAAUGUGCUUCUCUCCUCCUUGAGUGCUGGCUGUAGAUCAUGGCUUGGCACUCCUAGGCUGCCCACUGCAGCUCUGGGGCAAUCUCAGUGUUUAUAUUUCUUCCCUAACUUUGGGGAAGAAGAGGAAGGGACAUUAGUAGUGGUUGUAGCCAAGGGUCUUUUGUUUGUCUCCUCAGGGUUCUACCCCCGGAGAAUACAGGUCAGCAACUGUUUAUUGCAAUCAGCAAGCAGGAUGGAGAAUUCAUGCUGUGGGGGCCAAUCCAGGGGUUCCCUGUCUGUUAUGAGCAGUGGGGAGUGUGUAAAACCCGUGGGAGAUGGGCUUUGGUCAAUUAAAGCUUGUUGAAGGUGUAGAUAAGGGUGUUAGCUCCUUCAUCAGUCUGAGGGUAGCAAGGACAGUUCCACUGCAGAAGCAGUGGCAGAGAGGCUUUCAGUUGCCCCUGGAGGCUCUGUCCAGGGAGUGGCUGAGUUGCUACUGGCUCGACAGCUCUGGCAGGGGGGUUAGGUAGAGGCCCAGGCCUGCAAGACUUGCCUAGUGAGAAGAUACAGGAAUGGGAACCCAGGUAACAGUCUGGCCACUUUUCCAUAGGGCUGCUGCAGUAUGCCCAGGGCCCACUUCAGUCUCUAGUAGCCUCAGAUUUUCCAGUACCUGGAGUUAUCAUCAGUGAAGGCUGUGAAACAGAAAAGUUGGCAGCCUACUGCUCCCUUUGGAAGCUUUGCCCUAGGGAGGUAUGAAUGAACUUGUUGCUGGCCCAAACACACCUG